rnacentral:rRNA from 1 species
UACGUAGGGUGCGAGCGUUGUCCGGAAUUAUUGGGCGUAAAGAGCGCGUAGGCGGUCCGGUAAGUCGGUUGUGAAAGUCGGGGGCUCAACCCUCGGAUGCCGAUCGAUACUGUCGGGCUAGAGUCCGGAAGAGGCGAGUGGAAUUCCUGGUGUAGCGGUGAAAUGCGCAGAUAUCAGGAGGAACACCUAUGGCGAAGGCAGCACUCUGGGACGGUACUGACGCUGAGACGCGAAAGCGUGGGGAGCGAACAGG